GCCUGGGUGGCUCAGUCAGUUAAGUGUCUGACUUUGGCUCAGGUCAUGAUCUCAUGGUUUGUGGGUUCGAGCCCCACAUUGGGCU
rnacentral:tRNA from 1 species